rnacentral:rRNA from 1 species
AACGAACGCUGGCGGCAGGCUUAACACAUGCAAGUCGAACGGGUGCAGCAAUGCAUCAGUGGCAGACGGGUGAGUAACACGUGGGAACCUUCCUAGGGGUACGGAACAACUCAGGGAGACUUGAGCUAAUACCGUAUACGUCCGUGAGGAGAAAGAUUUAUCGCCCUUAGACGGGCCCGCGUCGGAUUAGCUAGUUGGUGGGGUAACGGCCUACCAAGGCGACGAUCCGUAGCUGAUCUUAGAGGAUGAUCAGCCACACUGGGACUGAGACACGGCCCAGACUCCUACGGGAGGCAGCAGUGGGGAAUCUUGGACAAUGGGCGCAAGCCUGAUCCAGCCAUGCCGCGUGAGUGAAGAAGGUCUUCGGAUUGUAAAGCUCUUUUGCCAGGGACGACAAUGACGGUACCUGGAGAAUAAGCCCCGGCAAACUUCGUGCCAGCAGCCGCCGUAA